rfam:Glycine max cultivar Williams 82 chromosome 17, whole genome shotgun sequence.
UUAGCAAGUUAUGUUGACUGUCACAUGUCAUGUUCUGAUUGGAUGUCAAUUCCAUGAAAAAUGAAAUGCAUUGUUGUUUUCAUUGACCAAUCAGAACAUGACACGUGGUCGUCAUCAUCC